rnacentral:rRNA from 2 species
GUUCUUUUCUCGCAUGAGAGAAGAUGGAAAGACGGUUUACGCUGUCACUUAUAGAUGGGCCCGCGGCGCAUUAGCUAGUUGGUGAGGUAAUGGCUCACCAAGGCGACGAUGCGUAGCCGACCUGAGAGGGUGAUCGGCCACACUGGGACUGAGACACGGCCCAGACUCCUACGGGAGGCAGCAGUAGGGAAUCUUCCGCAAUGGACGAAAGUCUGACGGAGCAACGCCGCGUGAACGAAGAAGGCCUUCGGGUCGUAAAGUUCUGUUGUUAGGGAAGAACAAGUACCAGAGUAACUGCUGGUACCUUGACGGUACCUAACCAGAAAGCCACGGCUAACUACGUGCCAGCAGCCGCGGUAAUACGUAGGUGGCAAGCGUUGUCCGGAAUUAUUGGGCGUAAAGCGCGCGCAGGUGGUUCCUUAAGUCUGAUGUGAAAGCCCACGGCUCAACCGUGGAGGGUCAUUGGAAACUGGGGAACUUGAGUGCAGAAGAGGAAAGUGGAAUUCCAAGUGUAGCGGUGAAAUGCGUAGAGAUUUGGAGGAACACCAGUGGCGAAGGCGACUUUCUGGUCUGUAACUGACACU